rfam:Gossypium arboreum cultivar AKA8401 contig_52842_1, whole genome shotgun sequence.
UGCCUAUGAUGUGAGGAAUUAUUUGCCACUCUUCUCGGGUUUAAACCACCAUUUCAUUAUUAUUUCCACCAAGAUCUCUGAGGCC